UCAGGUGGUGUGUGUGUGUGUGUUGCUGAGUGGACGCGUUUCUCCGGCAGAAUUAACCUGCGAGACACUGAUCCUGCUGUCCACCAACCUGACAGCGAGGACGUUGGCGUUAUUGAACCAGACGUUCACCAUCAGUAACUCCUCAGGUCUGUACUGUGACCUGUCUGUGGACGGGAUAGGAACCUGCUGGCCUCGAAGUGCAGCAGGAGAGCUGAUCUCCAGACCUUGUCCUGAACAGUUCAAUGGCAUCCACUACAAUACCACCAGUAAGUUCCUGUCUGUCUACCUGUCUGUCUACCUGUUGCUGUGUCCCAACUUAGGAGCUGGAUUCAACAAGGGAUGUCAACCACAACGUGUUCUUGAAGUUAAUUUGCAAGA